rnacentral:rRNA from 1 species
CAGUAGCCGCGGGAACACAGAGGGUGCGAGCGUUAAUCGGAUUUACUGGGCGUAAAGCGUGCGUAGGCGGCUUUGUAAGUCAGAGGUGAAAGCCCGGGGCUCAACCCCGGAAUUGCCUUUGAGACUGCAUCGCUUGAAUCCAGGAGAGGUGAGUGGAAUUCCGAGUGUAGAGGUGAAAUUCGUAGAUAUUCGGAAGAACACCAGUGGCGAAGGCGGCUCACUGGACUGGUAUUGACGCUGAGGUGCGAAAGCGUGGGGAGCAAACAGGAUUAGAUACCCGAGUAGUCCCUGUCUCUUAUAC